CAGAAGAUAGUUUAAUAAAAAUAUUAGUUUUGGGAACUGAUGAUGAUAGAUUUUUAUCUUUUCUGA
rnacentral:tRNA from 1 species